AAUGUUUAUUAACAUUUUAAAAAAACUUACUUCAAGAUAAUUAGCUUACUCUUUCGUGUUAUUGUUUGGUUUGUUUUUUUUUUCCUUUCCUCAAAUAAUGUUGAGGUUUUUGUUGCAUAUCCUUACCAAGUCAUGCAUUAAAACAGAGCUUAGUAGACUUCCAGAGCUAGAUCUGCAUAGUACAGAGAGCUGUAUGAAGAUGAACAAACCUCUCACUGAACCUGGUUAAUAGAAGCACAAUUUGGCCAGUGUUGGUGCUAGCCAGUGUGAGAUGUUUGUCAAGUUUGGAAUAAGUAGCAUGUUGCAGCAGUUGUAUUACUUAUUACUUCAUCCACCUGUAAUGCGUGUCUCUUACUUACAUUAUUCCACACAGUAUAUGAGAGUGUGUGUGGUGAUGUUAGGUUCAGAAGUUUCACAUCAGAAGUUUCAGUUUUCAUUAAUAAAAACCAUAGUUCUGUAGAAUUGAAUGUUGUUAAAAUUAUUUCCAGUGAGACGUAUCAUCUGCAUAGAGUGCUUGGAAUAAAAUUUGAAGAUAACACCAGGUGAAGAAGUUUUUUGCAGUCUUGCUUUUGCUGUGUAAGUGGUGUUUAUAGAUAGUUUCAUUUUGGUUAUUCACAGAGGAAAAAGACCUUUUAAAAUACGUAUUUGGCUGGAAUUUUACCAUUUUAUCUUGAAUAUCUGUUUUCUUUUUAUUAUAUAUCAGAGAAGCUACAGUGAAUCACACUAGCUUACAACACAAUAGCACAACUGAAAUCUGGAAUGAAAUCCCAGGGUGUUUUUUGGACAUGAAAUUGUGGUGAAAUGGAGAGUUGGAGCAGGCUCAAGAUGAAAGAUGUGGAGAGACAAAUGGACACAGACAAGCGGAGAAAAAGAUGAAAUCCACUGCAGUUUGUACACUUAACAGGCAUCAGUUUAAAAAACAAGACUCUAGGCAGCACUGAGUGUUUGUCUGAUCUUAUAGACACCCUCAAGCAGUGGUUUGGGAGUAGGUGUUUCGUAUGUCUAAGUGUUUAAUUCGUUUAAAAUCCAUUCCCUUUGACUCUGUCCACAUGGUUCAAAUAGUUAUUUUAUGGUAAAGAGAGAGUCUAGGAGCCAAAUCUUGCAUGUUCACAGUGGCUGAAAGCAGCGUCAUUGGUUAUGUAUUGCAGUCACAGGUCCUUUGAUGACAACCUGGUGUCUGGCUAUUGUGAAGAAAGGCCCUCUUUCCUUAUCAAUUUUGCGUACUUUGAGGGAGAGAAGAGGAUAUUUCUGACAAGUAGGAUGAUUUGAGCCCUCUUGCAGUCCUUUAUGUAGGAUCUCAAAGUUGCUAAUCUACCAUUACUUGAAUAGUUGCAACAGGACAACAUACUGUCUUAUUCUGGGCUUUUGUGUUGUUCAUGGAUAUUCACUGUUAUUAGGAUGUCAGAGUGACUCUGGUGAACUGGAAUGGUAUCUUAGGUAUCUUAGAUUUCCUGCUUUUGCCUUCUCUGUUUGGCAUUAUAGGAAGCGGGGUGUAGGAGUGCUCCUUUGAAAUAGAAAAAACAAGCUUUGAAAGGCCCCCAUGAAGUCACAAGAAUGUUGGAUGUAAUGGAACGUGGGAACAAUAGGAUGUUGCUGUCAAUGUGAAUUCUGUCACAAUGAAAAAGUGAAAUACUACGUAUCGUAGUUUAGUAGUGAGCUCAGAUCAAGAUCAUUCUGGUUCUUAAAGCUGUGUGGGAUUCCUGUAGUGUUUGUGAAAGUUGAACUACUUUCAGUAUUGGUCUCUGUGUUGAAGAGGACAGGUAGAAAGCUGUGCAAGUAAGAGGGGCAGAAAGGGAAAAGGAUGGGACAGCCGAAGAUUGAGAAUGGGGGCAAGGAAGAGGUGCUGGGGGCAAGGAAGAGGUGCAUUGUUCUGGAGAUUGCCGUUUUUCUAAUGUAAUUAUAGAGAAUUGACCAAAAGGGGGUGCUAAUAGAUCAAACAGUCAGAUUUGUUGCAUAAAGAGGUUAAGGAGAUGUUUUUGUGCAAUGGAUCAAGUCCCAGCUACUGAAUUAUAUCAGAACUGGUUAAUGGCAUCAGCAGAGCUGGAGCCUCUAAGGUAAGCAGGAAAAAGGAGACCUAAGUAGGUUUCCUGCAACGAGGAACUCUGUGUCCUUAUCCCACUGUGGGAAAGGUGGUUGAGAGACCUGAUACUGGUAUGGAUAGUUUAGUUCUCUUGCAGACUGGAGAACUUCCAGUGGUUUCUCACAGAACCUCUUCAUUUGUGUAGCAGAGAUGUAGAACCUGUUUGUGACUUGGCUGGAACAGCAGAUGAUGGCGGAAAGGGAGUACACACUCCUCGUGGAAGACGUGGUUAGGUGAUCACAGCCAUUUGUUUUUCCAGGACACAUGAUACCUACAGAAAGUUUUGAACUCUACAAAUACCCAUUUUCACUGGUAGUCCUCAUUAAUUCAUUUCAUGUUACUGAGCUGAUGUAAGACUUUACAAGUAUUUAAUAAGAAGACUAUGUAGUGUAGUCUUCGCCAAAUUUCUAUUCCUGUCUUCUCUACACAGUAUAAAAGACAUUUAAAUUUAUUGUGAGACUCUAAAAUAACAAAUGGCAACUGUAACUCAUUCUAGAUGCAACGUUCAGUUCUUUUAUGCCACUAUAAAGAACAUUUUGGAAGAAAAAGUUACUUUAACCUUUUUAAAAUUCCUAACUCUAAACCACAGAAAUAUUAAAGUAUAUUGUUUUGUAGCACAUAUAAAAACAGAGUUCAUGCUGAACUGAUCAGAUUGAUGGUAAAGACAAAAUUUUGUUAUACAACAUUACUGUUUAAGUGAACUUUAAAAAUUAGCAUAAUUAAAUAAUAAUCUAUGGAAAAUAUUAACUUAUAAUAGUAUAAAAUAAUGGCACAGGAUCAUAUAGAUCAAGUUUAAGGAAUUUAUAUGCCCGAUACAGUAGCAUGGGGUGGGCAGAAAAUACUUUUGUAAGUACAAACUAAAUGACAAUUUGAAUGAUGGUCUCAGAAGGCAAAGGAGCUGCUAUACUUUGGGAAAGUAUAUGCAAAAUCAUAAAGGACACAGGUGACUUCUUUUUGUAAACCCUUAUUUUACUUUUGUCUUCUGUAAUUUUCAAGGGUUCUUAUUUUAAAAGGCUAGCUGUUCUAAUAAACCCCGGCUUUUAAAAUUAAAAGCUUGUUUGUUCAUCACUAAUGAGCUUGCUAUCAGGAAAACAUUUGGGCAGAUCAACAACAGAGCUGUGGCCAGCUUAGUUUAUUAGAUAGUAACUAUGAAAGAAGUUUGUUUGAUAUGUGUUUUGAAUAGGGUAUUAAUGGGCCUAGAAGGUAGCAGUGUUUAUUGUUGCUAGCUACAUGUAAAACUCUCUUUAUGGUUUCUGAAUUUUAGAAUUAUUUUACCCCUCUAUUUAUGAAUAUUUGAAGUAUUCUGUGUACAGUAAUUUUAAAUGAGAGUUGGAUUAGUCUUUGAAGAGGGUAGAAAUGGAAAUUCCUGGUCUUAAGGCUUCAUCACAAGAUAUUUCAUCAGGGGGAAAAAAAAGGCAUAAGCAGUCAAAAAGAGGCAAAAUGGGGUAAUGCGUACUCAUGUUGCUUACAAAGAGAAAGGAAGAAAAUAGCUUACCUUUCCAGAGGUCAGUAGCAGAAAAAAAGCAGUAGAACUUCAUGAGAAUGGAACUGUCAAAUUGUGUUUUAUACUUCUGCAAGUUUAUCCAUCACAAAAGGUAUCUAAAAGUUGGCCUGAAUUUGGGCAGAAGCAAAUAUUAAUGGGAAAUUUUGUGAGAAUUACUGUAUUGUUCAGGACAUAAUAAAAGGCUUAAAUUGAGUUGUACUUUAAUGAUUUAGAUUGCAUAUUCAUUUAAUUUGAAGGUAGAAUAGGUGUUGUAAAGUUUAUACAAUUUCUAAGGGGAAACUUGAGCAAUGAAAUGAUACUUGCCAUUGUGGGAGUUUGAGAUGAGAAGAUUGUGUGAAAAAGGUCUGUUUCCUGGUUCUCUCCUCAGUUAAGUGCCUCACAUUAGGGACAAACUUGAAAUGAAACCUGCUGAAAAUUAAACAUUCUGGGAAUCAAGAAACUCUUUCUAGUGACUUCCAAAUAGUAGUAUUUCAGUUAACAUGGUAUUUCAGAGAUGCUGGUAUUUUCUAAGCUCCAGAUUACUUUCCUGUGGGAGAUGCAACAAAUGGAAGAAUCAACAGCCUGUCAUCUUUAAAGCAAAACUGGUAUUUAAUGUAUUUUCACAUGGGGGUCUCUCUUUCACUGACUUAAGAUUCGCUUUCCUAGUCUAGUCCAAAAGCCAAUUUUCAAUCACUUUUCAAUUAAGAAGUCCUGAAAGAAAAUACGUGCUGUCCAACUCACUGCAGUCCAGGGAUGGACAGAAGGCAACACAUGUAAGAAAUGUACAAGGUUUCAAAUUCUGGCAACAAUUGGGCAUGUUCCAGAACCACGUAGUCAAGAGAAAUGGCUUUGAAAGGUGAUGAAGAGGAGUAGAAGAUGACUUAGGUUAGUAAGCUGUCCAUCUGUUUUUGAAGAAGAGCUGAAACAUCAUGGGGAGCUGCAAGGUGUGAUGCCUUGCAAAUUACCCUGGUUGACAGAGACACCUUGUGCAAAAAAAUCAGCUACUCCUGUAUAAAAUGUGGAGGCAUCUCAGAAAGAACUUCUGCCAACCUUUAAUCUGGUGGGGGGUUUGCCCUGCUCUUCCCUAUUAACUAUAAAGGUGCUAGUAAAAACAAUGUCAAAUGACAUAAUGCUGAGUGGAAAUAAUUUUGGAAGGGCAUGGCAUUUAUACUUCUCAAAGCUUUUCCAAUUUAAAACAAAACAAGCAACCCCCCCCCCAACCAUAUUCAAACUGAUGUGUGCUAAAUUUUGUUCCAAAUUGAACUUAUAUUACAAGAAAAAGUAUGAUUAUGAUCAACCUUAUUACAAUCCUUGUGUACCCAAAUCUUUACAUAUUGAUCAGACCUCUUCACAGAGCAAGGGUCAGAGAACUUCUUGAUUCAUAGUCUAGAUUACUUUACAGAAGGGAUUAAUUAAAUUGCAUAAUCCAAUGUUGUUCUUUGGACGUAUGUUAAGUAGUGUUGUGAACACUGUAUCACGUAAAGUUCCAGAAUACCUGCAGAAUACUACUUUGAUACUAAAGCUACUGAAGCAGGAAAGAAACUGAUUUUCCUAUUGCAAUGUUUUUUUGCCUUAUUUAAGAUUGGACAUUUUGUGGCUUCAGCUACUUAGGACUGGAACACAAGUGUAAUGCUGUUCAGAAUGCUCUUAGGAUAACUUCUGUCUUGGUGUGUUAUUGAAUAAGAACCAUAUAACAAGCUUUUAUCCUAGAACUCUGGUAUCUGUCUAUUCUGUUUUUAUGCUAUAUUAUUUUACAUGUACAAAUUAAAAAAUAGUAGCUCUGUUGAGCCAGAAGCUCUCUGGUACAGAGGUUUUUGAGGUAAUGGAGUAGAUACCUUUGAUAUUUAUUAAAUUGUUUUCCUUCCUUGCACUUGAAAACUUCUGGUUCUUCAAACAAAGUAAUCUUCCAAACAGAUUUUGUCACUCUAAAUUGUAAUAGAUGUGUCUGUCCAUGUCAGAGUUGGUGAUUCUAUAAACGUUGUGCUUUGGAGAAUUUUCAAAUUCCAUUGAAUCCAUUUGAAUUUCCAUUGGCACAUGAAAGGUAAGUUAGUAGAGUGUAAUCUGCAUUAGAAGUAGAGUUGCAAUAUUACUGAACUUUGUUCAGUUGCUUAGCUUUGUAAGAUUCUUCUGUUGUAUAGACAACUCACUUCUUGCAUUUUGCUUUCUCAUUUGUUUAAGAUGACCUUAAUUAGAUAUGAAGCACACUAUUGUCUACUUGGAUUUCUCCAAGGAUUUUGAUAUGGUUUCUCACAGCCUCCUUCCAGAAAAGUGGAUGUGUUACAAUCUAACAAAGUGGCCCUUGCAGUGGGUGGGGAACUGGUUGACAGGCAGCACCCAGAGGGUGGUGGAACAACGCUCCCUUUCAUGCUGGCAACCUGUCACAAGUGGGGUCCCCAGGGAUUAAUACUGGGCCCAGCACUUUUUGAUAUCAUCAUAAGUGAUUGGUGAGAUCAAGUGUACCCUGAUAAAGUCUGCUGAUGAUACCAAACUGAGUGGGGAAGUAGUCACUUUGUAAAGGAGACUCACCUUGCAGGAAGACCUAGAAGGCUGGAAGAGUGGGCUAACUUACGAAGUUCCACAAGGCCAAGUUGUUGUCCUUGCAGCCUGGGAAAUCAUAAUCCAGGAGUGCAGAAUAGUCUGGGUUCUGCGUGGCUGGGGACCAGCUCUGGGGAAAGGGACCUGGUGGUCCAGGAGGAAGGCAAGCUCCGUAGGAGUGAUCUUUGCUACUCAGCAAAGAAAGGCAACAGACUGCGGGGUUGCAUCAACGAGGGCAUCACCACCCAGAGAUGAAGAAAUUAUUAUCCCACUCUUUUCAACACUUGUCAGGCCACACCUGGAAUACUGUAUGGACAGGCUAGAGAGGUCCAGAGAAGGGCCAGAAAGCUGACCAAAGGACCAGGAAUCCUGCUGUAUAGGGAAAUGCUGAGAGAACUGAGUUUGUUCAGUCUUGAGAAGAGAAGGCUUACAGCAGACCUUGUCAUCAUGUUCCACUAUUUAAAAGAUCGUUACACAGAAGGUGGAGACUCCCUUUUUACAGGGAGUCAUAUGGAAAGGAAAUUAAUGAUACAAGUUACUCCUGGGGAGAUUUCGGUUAGACACAAGAGGAGAAUUUUUUACAAUGUAGUUGUAAACUACAGCCAUUGGAACAGUCUCCCCAGGGAAGUGGUGGGUUCCCCAGUGUUGGACAGUUCAAAGAUUCAGCUGGAGAGGGUGCUGGGCCAUCUUGUCUAGACUGUGAUUUUGCCAAGAAAGGUUGGAACAGAUGGUCUUUGAGGUCCCCUUCCAACCUGGUAUUCUAUGAUUAGCUCAGAGAAUUAGGCUGCUUGGCUUGGUUCACCUGCUGUGACAUUAUUUUGCCAAAAGAUGAUUGGUACUCCAAGGGCUGAACCCUCAUGUUAGUGACAUAAUGCAAGUUAAGGUCAGCUUUUACUCGUUAAUUCAGUGAUGUGGAAUUGGGUUCUGUGUUUCCAUGUGUACCCUACAGAUUUAGCAAUUAUACAAGAAGAUUAACCAUAUUUCUUGGAAAUUAAUAAGCUGACCCAAAAUGAUUUAGAAAGUAAUAGUUGUGAGUUUUGCCCACUCAAAACCAGAAAAUUGUGUUUGCAGUAUCAGCUUAGGGUUUGUUUAGUAAUUUUUUGUUUGGGUUUGGUUUUGUUUUUUUUUAAUUGGUAAUGUUCUGCUGUUAAAGGGUAGAAUUGGAGCUUUACCAUUACAAAUAGAUUUAGGAUUUUUUUUCCUGUGAUGCCAUCAUUUUCAGGAUCAGAGUUCCAGAAUGCUUGCAGCAGCCGUGUGUUUUUCUGUCUGUUCGUGACAAACCAGCUACUGUACAUUCAUAUAGAGCAGUACAGUCCUUGCCACUGGCAGUCUCUCUGUGACAGAGAGCCUGUAGGCUGACAUAAAGUGCAGCCUGUUGUGAACUACUAAGUGGGAGUCUGCCAAAAACUCAGCAGACAGAACUAAUUGGGGAGAAAAAGGAUUUUUGUGCCCUCAUCUCUCCCUCUUCAAUUUUUUUUACAAGACGGAUAUUGUUAAAGUAACUUGUUUAUGUAAGAUUUGUCUGCCUCUAUUUUCUCAUUGCAUGAAUCAUUUUUUAACUUCAAGUCUUGCA